rnacentral:lncRNA from 1 species
CAGAAAAAUUAGUUAAUUUUUUUCCUUAAACAAAUCAUUACUUAAGAAUUUAAUUGAUAAUUCCCACUGGGAGAAAGCAUCAAGAUGAGCAAAAAACAAGUGGCAUUUUAUUUGGAAUAUUUAAGAAGUAAAACAAUUCCAAUUGUUAGAAGAGACUUGACGUAUAAGAACUAAGCAUUAAAAAUGGUAAUUAAGAUUAAUUGAAGGUUUACUCUGUGAACGCCAUUGUUUCAUUGCUCUAUGCAAAUUUUGUAGAGCAAAAAAUUCAUUGACCAGCAGCAUCAAAAUUAACUGGGGAGAGUGAUGCCAGCAAGAUGACAUAAUAGAAGGUAACCCACUCAUUACCCGCCACCCCCCAUAACAACAAUAAUUCUGCACCACCACAGACCAAAGUCUCUGUGCAGGAGCCUCAGGAUUCAGGUAUAAGAUUGUGAAACCCCAGUGGAUCCCAAGACCUAGAGGUUGUUUUGAGAGUGCAGACUAGCACCCUAGUGGCUGAUCUGCUGAUUUUGCUUCUGGGUUCAAGCCUGGAAAUGGUUCCAUUCCCCAAGGAGCUUGGCUAAAAACUCAUUUGGUCUUGAGCCUACAACCAAAACCAUCUGCCAAGGAGUCCAGAAAGAAUCAUGUACACUAGUGCCUCAACAGAGAGCCUCCUCUGACUGCUGACAAUGAAUCUGAAAGUUGCCCUGUGACUUGACUUCAGCCCUUCUCUGCUAAAGUCCCAGCUCAGAACUGCUCACACAAGGACCUAGAGUGAGACUCGCCCAUGUCUUGCAUCCUGGGAGUCUGAACUUCCAUGUUGUGCUCUCCAGCCUCUGUCCCAUAAUAGAUCCUGAGGGAAGCCAGCCUCAGUUCUGACCCCUCUGCAGUCAGGGAACUAGCCCAUCUGUGCAGAGACUUGCUGGGAGAUGCACACUCAUCUGAGCCAAUAAGAUAGGCUUGCCAGCUGCCUUCUGCAGGAGAUCCAAGGGUCCCCAGUCUCAGCCCUGGCCUCACCUGCUACAAUCAAUGAACUACCUCACCUGUCCAGGGACUGUAGGAGAUGGACAUCCAUCUUAGCUACCAGAACAGUCUUCUGGGUUUAGGUUUCUGGCCAGAUUUUUCAUACAACCUGGGUACCCUUCUUUGGUCUUCCCCAGGUCUAUCUGGGCUAGAAAGCUGCAUAAAUCUCAGAGCUCUCCCAAGACUCAUAGCAAACCUGGGCUUAGCAUGCCCUUUAAUGCUCUAAUGCUGAGACAGCUGUACUGGUCUUGGGCUCAGGGAAGACAACAGUCAGUCUCCUUAGAGUCUGUGGAAGAUCUCCUGAAGAAGAAUGGAUAUAAACAAAGCCAGAUUGGGGAAACUAGAAUAAAUGCCUAAUCCGUCAAUGUGCAGACAUUGUCACACAUCCACAAGCAUCAAGAACAUUUAGGAAAAUAUGACCUUACCAACUGGACAAAAUGAGGCACCAGGGACUGGCCCUAAAGUGAUGGGGAUUGUGAUCUUUCAGACAAAAAAUGUAAAAUAGCUGUUUUAAGGAAGAUCAAUGAACUUCAAGAAUAUACAGAAAAACAAUUCAGAAAUUUAUCAGAUAAUUUAAUGAAGAUUGAAAUAAUAAUUAAAAAAACCACAAACAUGCCGGAGUUGAAAAAUACAGGGAGCAUAAUGAAAAAUGAAAUAGAGACCAUCAAGAGCAGAACUGAUCAAAUAGAAUAAAAACAUUAGGGAACUCAAAGACAGGCUGUUUGGAAAUAAUCAGAGGAGGUAAAAAAAAGAAUGAAAAGACAGUGAAGAAGGCUUAUGGAAUUGAUGGAACAACAUUAAAAGAGAAAAUAUUCCAGUUGUUGGAGUUAAAGAGAGAGUUGAGAAAGACAAAGCAGUGUGAAGGUUAUUCAAAGAAAUAAUAAUAGGACUUUCCAAACCUGGAGAAAGAUAUAAAUAUACAGGAACUGGAAGAUCACAGCUAAUCAAUCAGAUUCAACCCAAAUAAGAAUACCCCAAGAUAUAUUAUAAUCAAACUUUGGAAGGUCAAAGACAAAUAGAGGACCCUGAAAAUAGAGAAAUAAAAGAA